GUUCCGAGCGUUAUCCGGAUUUACUGGGCGUAAAGCGCGUUCAGGCGGUUUGGCAAGUCGGGCAUGAAAUCUCUCGGCUCAACCGGGAGAGGUUGUCCGAUACUGCUGGACUUGAGGGCAGUAGAGGGUGGUGGAAUUCCGGGUGUAGUGGUGAAAUGCGUAGAUAUCCGGAGGAACACCAGUGGCGAAGGCGGAUCUCUGGGCCUUACCUGACGCUCAGGUGCGAAAGCUAGGGGAGCGAACAGG
rnacentral:rRNA from 1 species